GCAGAACCCUCACAUUGUCACCAGCUUUUGAAGACAUCAUCGGCACGGCCACCGACCUCGAUUUUCUCAUCAUCUUCCUUCUCAUCGCAGCAUCUGCGUCUUCUUCCUCCUCUUGGAUUUCGCCCUCGGCUUUCUUCUCCGCCGUCGUCUCGUGUUCUCCAUUAUUAACCUCGCUUGUCUUACUCCUGUGAGACGACCGGAAUACCGACGAC
rnacentral:lncRNA from 1 species